rnacentral:rRNA from 1 species
AACGAACGCUGGCGGCAUGCCUAACACAUGCAAGUCGAACGAGACCUUCGGGUCUAGUGGCGCACGGGUGCGUAACGCGUGGGAAUCUACCCUUGGGUUCGGGAUAACAGUUGGAAACGACUGCUAAUACCGGAUGAUGACUUCGGUCCAAAGAUUUAUCGCCCAGGGAUGAGCCCGCGUAGGAUUAGCUAGUUGGUGAGGUAAAGGCUCGCCAAGGCGACGAUCCUUAGCUGGCUGAGAGGAUGAUCAGCCACACUGGGACUGAGACACGGCCCAGACUCCUACGGGAGGCAGCAGUGGGGAAUAUUGGACAAUGGCGAAAGCCUGAUCCAGCAAUGCCGCGUGAGUGAUGAAGGCCUUAGGGUUGU